UGUCUGGAGCUAUGCCACUGUAGAAUCAUUAAUAUUCGCGGAGACUAUUUAUAUUAUCGGACACAACAACCAGAAGCCAUAUCUUUCGAAGGAAAUGAAACUGAGAAUGAUAUAAUGAAGUAAAGAAAUAUAGAAUUAGAAAAAGCUAGAGCUGGGUAUAAAGGCUUACGACCUGGAGAUUCUUAGCUUGUUAGACACAAUCUAUCUUACUAGCUAUUCAGUGGAUUCCUAGCCCUUGACUCAUGGUAGAGAACACCAAAGGGUACUGCUCGCUUUGUUUCUCUUUAUGUGGGGACGAGAACAAACUGACUAUAAAUCUGCAGAAUCCACUACCCGCUCCUGCUUCUUGGUCACCAGAAGGGUAAUUAGGAUCUGCUGCUGAACCAGAUAUCCCGCCCCUUACGACCAGUAAUCGAUAUCCCUCACAGCGAGCCAACAAAGAAUGAAAGAAGGAAAGGUAGGCAGGCUCAACAAAAGCUGCAAACUAAGGCUCAGAAAACUUGUGCAAUCUAAAGAAGAAAGAGUUAAAA
rnacentral:lncRNA from 1 species